rnacentral:lncRNA from 1 species
GAACCCUAACUCCAAAUCGAAGCUUGUCUUUCUUUCUCCGGCCUCUACUCUCACGAAUCGAAGGUUGUCCUCCUUUCUCCGGCCUCUACUCUCACGAAUUGAAGCUUGUCUUUCUCUCUCACAUCGAUUCAGGUACUCUUCUUUCUUUUUUAAUCCUUUUUAAAUAUUUUCCUUUUCGUGAUUUCUUUGUGUUUGUGGUUUGUUACUUGGUUUUAGCUCUUAGCUCUUUGUGGUUUGUUACUUGAUUUUGUUUCUACUGAAAUGUUUCUUUGUGUUUGUGGUUUAUUUUGUUUCUACUGAACUGUUACGUGAUUUGGUUUUAGCUCUUAUUCUUUGUGUUUGUGUUAAACUUUAGUGGUAAAGUUUAGCUCUUAUUCUUUGUGUUUGUGUUAAAGUUUAGUGGUAAAGUUUAAGUGAUUAAAAAUGGAACGGUAAACAUGAGACGCAGAUUUAAUUGAGAAAAUUGAAGAAAGGAACACAUGUCUUGGUAAGUGGAACACUGAAAUGGAAACAGUGAAAGUGAGUGAGUUAAGUGUGGAGAAGAGAAAGAAAUGUGAACAUAGAGAACUGGUUUGAAUCUUAUCUCACUGUCAAACAUAUAACAAGUUUAUAUAUGGCUGAGCAUUGAGCAACUACUAUCUUGAGCUUAAACAUAAUCACUAUUCAUUACAUAACAAGCUGUAAAUUUAAAAGAUACAUGGUAAACUNNNNNNNNNNNNNNNNNNNNNNNNNNNNNNNNNNNCAACUAGAGAAGAAUCUGUUCAAUUGAUUUUCUUUGUGUUACCAGAUUUCUUUGUGUUUGUGGUUUGUUACUUGGUUUUAGCUCUUAGCUCUUUGUGGUUUGUUACUUGAUUUUGUUUCUACUGAACUGUUACCUGAUUUGGUUUUAGCUCUUAUUCUUUGUGUUUGUUUUAAACUUUAGUGGUAAAGUUUAAGUGAUUCAUUUAAGUGAUUGGUUUCCCAUCGGGUACGAAACCAAUACUUUAAUUUGUGUUACCAUGUUUUAACUUAAUUUCACAACAUAGGUAUGGAUCGUAGUUGGAUGAAAGCUAAUAGAUUAAGUGUUGAGUUUGAACAGGGAGUGAUUGAAUUUCUUCGAUUUGCUGAAAUCAAUCUUCCAUCUCCCGAAAGUAAUGCUAAAAAAAACCUUUCGACCCCCGAAAGUAAUGACGAAAAAAAUCUUCCCCCU